rfam:Dipodomys ordii contig_90037, whole genome shotgun sequence.
GGUGGCUCAGUGGUAGUGUGCUUGCCUUGAAUGCAUGAAGCCCUGGGUUCGAUUCCUCAGCACCA